CCCACAUCAGCACAUUACAGCAACACAGAGCAGCACCGUGUGCUUACCACCACAUCGAACGAGUUUUUGGUUCCUAACCCCCACGAAUAGCUGGGGUACAGUGUACACUAGAAACCAGGGGGGCUGUUGACGUUGACGUUCACUUACCAGGGCUGCGAGCCGAAGCCAUACCAGGCCAGCUGGAGGAUCUGAAAGCCGAGGCCCAGCAGGAUGGUGUUCUUGUUCCCGAUGGAGCGCAUCAAGAUGCCCAGCACCACCGUCUAGAUGUCACACACACACACAAAGGCAUAGCCUGUGGGUCUGACUCACGGCGAAGGGAUCGGCCUGUUCCCAUGAGAUGGGUGCGCCCCACGACGCCGGCCGCAUUUUCUCGGGAAGUGACUCGGGCACGGCCACCA